GUGACGAGUGGCGGACGGGUGAGUAAUGUCUGGGAAACUGCCUGAUGGAGGGGGAUAACUACUGGAAACGGUAGCUAAUACCGCAUAACGUCGCAAGACCAAGAGGGGGACCUUCGGGCCUCUUGCCAUCAGAUGUGCCCAGAUGGGAUUAGCUAGUAGGUGGGGUAACGGCUCACCUAGGCGACGAUCCCUAGCUGGUCUGAGAGGAUGACCAGCCACACUGGAACUGAGACACGGUCCAG
rnacentral:rRNA from 1 species